rnacentral:rRNA from 1 species
GCACAGAAGUUAGCCGUCCCUCUUCCGAUACUAUCAGCUCAACCGUUGUUCACGGCUGAUCUUUGUUCACGAAUGACAGUGGUUUACGGAUCGAAACCCUUCAUCCCACACGCGGCGUCGCUCCUUCAGGCUUGCGCCCAUUGAGAAAAAUUCUCGA